rnacentral:rRNA from 1 species
UACAGAGGUCUCAAGCGUUGUUCGGAUUCAUUGGGCGUAAAGGGUGCGUAGGCGGCGCGGUAAGUCGGGUGUGAAAUCUUGGAGCUUAACUCCGAAACUGCAUUCGAUACUGCCGUGCUUGAGGACUGGAGAGGAGACUGGAAUUUACGGUGUAGCGGUGAAAGCGCAGAUAUCAGGGAAGAACACCCGUGGCGAAGGCGGCUCUCUGGGGACGGUACUGACGCUGAGACGCGAAAGCGUGGGAGCGAACAGG